rnacentral:rRNA from 1 species
GGAGGGGGAUAACUACUGGAAACGGUAGCUAAUACCGCAUGAUGUCGCAAGAGCAAAGUGGGGGCCUUCGGGCCUCACGCCAUCGGAUGUGCCCAGAUGGGAUUAGCUAGUAGGUGGGGUAAUGGCUCACCUAGGCGACGAUCCCUAGCUGGUCUGAGAGGAUGACCAGCCACACUGGAACUGAGACACGGUCCAGACUCCUACGGGAGGCAGCAGUGGGGAAUAUUGCACAAUGGGCGCAAGCCUGAUGCAGCCAUGCCGCGUGUGUGAAGAAGGCCUUAGGGUUGUAAAGCACUUUCAGCGAGGAGGAAGGCGUUGUAGUUAAUAGCUGCAACGAUUGACGUUACUCGCAGAAGAAGCACCGGCUAACUCCGUGCCAGCAGGCGCGGUAAUACGGAGGGUGCAAGCGUUAAUCGGAAUUACUGGGCGUAAAGCGCACGCAGGCGGUUUGUUAAGUCAGAUGUGAAAUCCCCGAGCUUAACUUGGGAACUGCAUUUGAAACUGGCAAGCUAGAGUCUUGUAGAGGGGGGUAGAAUUCCAGGUGUAGCGGUGAAAUGCGUAGAGAUCUGGAGGAAUACCGGUGGCGAAGGCGGCCCCCUGGACAAAGACUGACGCUCAGGUGCGAAAGCGUGGGGAGCAAAC